CGUUUAUGCGCUACAGCAAGGGUGGCGACCCGGCUCCGCACCCUUCUCUCGCGAAGGCGCACUGCGGAGCCACUGCAAGGCCCUUCCUCAGGUACUCAUGCACACACUCACCUAUAAAUACCCACAUCACCGGCCUACACUGUGCGCGUCCCUGCGGCAUUUCGACUUCGCAGGAGGGCAAGAGCGCGCGGCUCGUAUCUUUUUUCGUCUCUCUCCAACUCUUCUCCUUUCCACUGCUCGUCAUUUGUCAUUGGCCGCCACUGCGUGACUGCCGCGUCCACCCAUCAUCAUCCACCAACACCACCGAGCUGUGCGAUCCUUUGCCUCACCCUCUCCCUCCAUCUAGGUGCUGUGCGCUCCCUCCCUCUCUCGUCUCCGCUCCUGCUGCGCACGCGCGUCGUGCGCUUCCCGCCCCUUGAAGCGACGGCCCUAUCAUCGUCUUUUCGCUCUCGCAAUCAGACAUCAUGUACAUGCAGGUGGUCUCCAUCGAGCACUCGCUAGAGCGACCGCAUGCGGCUUUGGGUGACGCAGCGCUGUCACCGAUUUUCCGUCGUGUGUCGGCGCGCUGUCCAGUGCUGCACCUCUUCGGCUACGUACACAUUCCUUUGGAUCUCACCCCCACCACGUCCGGCACCUCAGCACCCGUCGCGUCAACGGAGCCCCGCGACGCGAGCAGCAGCGCUCCAGAGAACGAACUCGACGGCGACGCGGAAAUCACGGCUGCCGCGACUCCACAUUCUUUCUCUCGCGGAAGCAGCGGGGGUGGUAUUCUGCUUCUCAGCCGAGCCACUCCACUCGUCGGCCGACUCAGCGGCACCCCGGCGCCGCUGCAGCAGGAGGAUGCCUCGCCCUCGCCGAAGAGGGCCACGUACGCUUUAGAUGCUGAUGGACACGGCAACAAGGCUGCGGCGGCCGGCGCGGUAGCGCGGCACUGCGAUGCACCAUCCUCAUCUUUUCUACCUCCUUGUAGUACCCUCUGCGCGGCUACGAGCGCCGCUGGCGGCGACGGCGACCCGCUAAUCUUAACAGACGGGAACCUUGGUAGCUCAGCCGCCUGGCGUGGCCGCUACACGCAACGCCGCGCCUGCCUUCAUGUACAUGGAGUGUACCCAUCGCUGCUGCUCCCCCAGUACGACCGCAGCGUCUCUGCCGAUCAGCUGGCGGCGCAGCUCGAGGCCGUGGCGCUGCGCGUUCUCGCGCGACAGGGCACGCUUGUGCCGACCCAACAGCUGGUGCACAACGUCCGCAUUGCCCACCGCUUCAACGUGUACGGCUACCGGCCCCACGCGUACGCCUUUUACGAGGUGGAGCUUAUCGACCCCGACUUGCUGCCAAGGGUGGUGGAUGUGCUGCAGAACUCGACGGAGGUGGGCGGGCGGCAGUGGCAGCUGUACGAUGCGCACUAUCGGUAUCAUACACAGUUCAUGGUGCGGUGGCGCGUGAGUGGCAUCGCGCCGUUUCUUCUGCCAGCUGGACGGUGCCAUGUGCGUCUGCCGACCGUUGCCGAGCUCUCGGAGAACUCGCCUGCCCUCUCGGCGUCGCUUGAAGCGGUUGGUAGGCUGCAGGCGCCCCAGCACAGCCGCGGUAACGACAGUGACGCAGCGAAACGAGAACUGAAGGAUAAGGACGAGGAGGAGCACAGGCAAGCAGCCGCCAGCUCUGCGCAGCAGUCUCAGCUUCUCUUUCGCCAGCGCUGGCGACCUGAUGAGCUAGGUCGCGCCACCACGGCAGAGGUGGAGCUGGACGUCGCCGGUGCCGAUCUGCUCGACCACUCCUCCGCAGUGGAGGAGGGGGAAGCUAAGGGUGCCGCAGUAGCGUCGCAGGGGCGACGAAGAACCGUGACGGCCGGCGACAACCUCAACUACACACGCCGCAUCAUACGACACUACUUCAGCGAGCAUGGGGUGUCCGAUACUUUGCGCGUUGCGGACACCAUCGCGAUGGAGCGCCAUCAGCAGGAGUGUGCGCAUGUCGCGGCGGCCGGGUUGAAGGGGCAGCAGGGGCGCUACGGCCACGUGAUGCAGAUCCAACGCGGCGAUCCGACGGUGCGGUGGCUGCGACACCGCAUGCUAGAGUACUUGAAGGAGCGGGCGGAGGCCAAUGCAGCGGUCGCUGCGGCGCUUGCCGCUCCUUCUGCGGUUCGCAAGACAGAAGACGGCAGCGAAGUGUCUACUGCCAUGUUUCUCGCCAGCACAGGCGCUGCCGCGGCUUCGGUGCUGCCACUCUCGUCCGCCGCUUCUCUUGUUGAAAGUGCUGUAAAGUUGCAAGAUCAGCGCGCCAUUCGCCAGCAGCUCCUUGCCGAGUACCGCCGGCCUGGCGGCGCUACUUUAAGGGCAAGUCGGCACGGCCACCGACGCGGGGCCACAGACGCGAUGAGCACUCGCGUGUACGCAGAUGGCCACAUUGCCGUGCCGUCGUCGUUCGCACAUGUUGCCGACCAGGAAUCAGCCAUCGCUGGCGGGGAGGCGCUGUACGUUGGCUUUAGCUCAGAGAGUCUGAAGCUUUCUGUGCCACAGGGUCAGACCCAGCCGCAGCCGCAGCCGCAGCAGCCAGCAGCAGCGCCGGAGAAUGCUGCGGGGAAGCCGAUCCCUUCUUCAUCCGCAUACCAGUCCUUCUUCGACGAGCUCUCGGCCACAGCCUACGCCGAUGUCGUGGCUGCGCCGACGCAGGACUUGUUCACGGCGCUGGCACAGCCAAGCGCGCCCUCGUUACCGUUCCAUGGAGAUGAGCCCACUACCUCCGUCGCAGCAGCGGUCAUUACAACACCGCGACGUAGCUCAAUGAGCAGCAAGGAGGCAAGUGGGGCGGACUGCAGGGACAUGCAACCGAUGCUGGAGACAACUCGUGAGCCGGCGAGCAACGCGGACGUGACCUUGACGUGCGCAGCUUCUGACUCGAUAAUCGCCGCGGCACCGUCGCGUGCGGGCUCCUCGUGGUCGUCUGCGUUGUCGUCGUCCUCCACGGCGUCCCUCUCCAGCGGCAGGACUUCCCCAGAUCACGGCAACUGCUGUAUGGAAGGCCGCGAGGGCGUUGACCCGUCCUUUCUCGGCUCUUCAGCGGCACAGUCACGUGAGAGAGCCCAGGGGGAGCCGUGUCUCGCGGCAUUGGACGCCGCAGCACUCGUGCGCGAGACGCCCACGCAGCGACCGACGCGGCCGUCUGUCGGGCGUUCUCCGAAGAUCAGUGAAGGGCAAGAUAAUGACUUCGCGUUCGAUGCUCUGGACAGAAUCGAUGGGGAGGCGAUCAGGCCAUCGGUCGGUGCCUCGCAAAAAGAUGGUUCGCUUCCGCGACUGGGGAGAGACGCCAGCAGCGCGGCAUUGGACGAGCUGGUGGGUGCGGAAAACGACCACACUCCAGAGGGCGGACGCCGUUGCGCCGGCAUCGCUGCGGCCGCAUCACCGGCUACUGCGACGCCCACCCGCCUCCUCACGCGUCAUGAUUUGGCGGAGGGGGACUGCGUCGCGUUCGUCCGUGUGCGCGAAGUCGCGCCUUCUUUGCGUCACGGCGAGGUCCUGGCCAUGGCCCGUGUAGCGGCGUUGAUGACGGAGACGACAGAGCUGCAGUGGCUGCUGCGCUUGAGCGAGACGCACUUCGCUGCGGAGGAGCAAGCGUUGGUGCGCCGUGGCUCAUGGCUGCGCGCUCAACUACCAACCGACGCCGCUGCCGCCGCUAGCACGGCGCCCUCGAUGAGGGACUACCACAGCCACUUUGCUGGAACUGCACGCGACGUGCAGCUGGGGGAAGUGGUGCUCAGCGACGUGUACGAUAGCGUUCUCACCUCGGUGCUGGAGGGUUAUGCACAGGCGGCUGCGCCGUCCGCACCCAUGCAACAGCUUCCUGCGAGAGACGUCGCCGUGUCUGCGGCGCGUACUCUGGAUAUCGGGGAGAUCGAUUUAAAGGCGCGUGAGACAGAUCCUGAAGAGGGCAGCGUGUCGUGGCAACUGGGGCGUCGUCGUCCUUCAGAUGACGCGGCUGCUGAGGUGCAAGUCUGGAGGGUUCACUGCUUCACUGAUGUGGCAGUGUAUCACAGCUUCGCAAGACCACCUGAUGGCCGGCAUCGGCCCCACGCUGGACACCCCAGCUGCAGCUCGCCUCCUCUGCUGCGAGUUCUUUGUCGUUACGCGUAUCAUGUCGAGGCCCGGGUGCUGACUAGCGUCUGCCCAGAUGUCUUCACGCCAGACGUGCGUAAGUCCGCCGUUGAUUGCCGUCCUCUACCUUCCUCACGACGCGUCUUGUCGCAUGGUGACCAACAACUGGAGAGCGGCGAGAGAAGGGUUGAUGCCGCCACGGCGCACCACUCGUCGCGCACAGGCGCCUCAUCAUCUCGCGUGCUCUUCACUCAGCCUCAGCCUCUGCUGCCUUUGGGCGCCCCGCGUGCGCACUCGAGAGCAGCGGCGGCGUCGCUCACAUCCCCACCGGCGCCCUCCUCCCCGCCCGUGGAGGUACCCGCGACGCUAGCCAAGGCGCCGUGGCUAGAGGCGAGUGAGGACGGGUGCGAGGACACGUUGCUGUUCCCCAGCAGCUCUGCUUCCACUGGCAGCAGUUGGGGAGGAGGCAGGGAUGCGUCUAAACGGGGGGACGAGGCGGCGUCGGCUUGCGCUGCGCACGCCGCCCCACUGGGCGUCAGGCAUAUGCCCGACAGGGCACCUCCACAGAGCCCCUCCGAGGCCUCCGCUGAGCUUCCCUCACCUUCAGCUGCGGUGCAAACAUCACAAGAAGCCGCCGACGCGGCGCCGCCGCCUGCCGGUAAGCGCCUCUGGCGGGUCUCAUUAAUGCGAACGCCGCCGCCAGACUUCGCUGUCGGCCGUAUGCGCGUCCUGCGCGGUGUGCAGGCGGCCCGUCACUUCGCUGCACACGCAUUCGUGUCGGAGAAGCAAGCGUGGCUGCGCCAGCGUGGCGCCAGCUGCACAACUGAUGGUAGCCACGGCCCCACAGCAGACGCUGCGGCGGUUGGUGCCAUCGAGGAGUCGGACACUGCGCCGCAGCUGCGGUUUUCCAAUGAGACGGCGGACCCUGACGGAGACGGGAACGAGGAGCAGCCGGUCGGUGCAACGGUGAGAGAUGGCUCGAGGGCGAAUGGGGCAUGCAGCGGGGGUACUUUAGCGGCGGCAGGGGGGAGAAGAGCAACGGAGAUUGUGGUGCUGUCGGCAGCCUCAUCCUGCGCGCACAGCAGCUCUGCAGCACCGAUCGCAUCGUUCGUGGUAUCCUCUCUUACGCCCUCAAGGUCGUCCUCGUCAUCGGUGGACCCUGUGCGCGAGGUGACGGCUUCGCAGCGCGGCUUCCUCGACCUUCUGCAGGCAGGGAGGAACCUUGAUGAGGGAGGUGCGCGCAUGGUGUUGCUGCAGCAUCGCGGCCAGCUGGGCUACAUGGUGGAUGGCAUGCAACGCUGCUGUGCAGUGUCCGCCUCUGGAAGCGAGGGCCUGCUCCUCUCGCGAGGGGGCGGCGGUGGUAGCAGCGGCGACUUGCGGGUGUGCGCCUCUGCUGUCGCGUGGCCGUGGACCGCAGCGACGGAGGUAACGCCGAGUGAUGGAGCGCUGCUACCGUGCCGGUAUGAGGCGGUGACGUCAUUCCCCGCCCCUUCGGCUGGCAUUGCCGGGGCCUCGCGGGGCGCGAGGGUGGCGCCGACUGCCGCACGCGGGACUCCCACACGCCGUGGCGCCAAGCAGAGCCUCCUCUCGGUGGUGAGCAGGCGAAAGUCUACCAGCCACGUCCCCGGUCUUUCUCUCUCCGCCACACAGCAGCCGCAGCACCACCUGCAGUGCACCCUGCGCGUGCUCUACAUUGAGGUGCUGCUUCACCGCCUUCCGGGAGAAGCGCCUGCGUCGACGAAUGAGGUGCUCGCAGUGGGACUGGGACAGGCCACCACAGCCACCAACAGCGCCAUCGCCGUUCGCGUGUUCUGCGUGGCCGCUCCACUACGCUGCGCAGCUGCGCGCGCAGCGACGCACCCGUCCGCUGCUGGGCGUGCGCCGCCCCUUGUGGGACUGACUGAGGCGGUGCAGGUGGUGACGAUGCCGGACGAGGCAGCGCUCCUCGCGCGCGUGCGUGGCGAGAUCCUCGCGUACGACCCCGACAUCUUGAUUUCGUGGGAUGGCUUCAAGUACGGGCUUGGGUACUUGGCACUGCGUUACCGGGCGGUGUUUCAGCGCAACCUGGCCUCUGACUUGUCACGCGUGCUGCAGCAUCACGGAUAUCAGCGGACCAACGCAAAUUGUGGGUCGCACUUUGCAGCCGCCGCGUCAGCGUCGGGUGGGGAUGCUGGCGCCGACGGCGGCGCGGCUGAGCGCGCGUGCCCCUCAAUGGGAGAGGAAGGGCCGGCAGAGGGCGGGCGCGGGGGCGCAGAUGCUGGCGAGCUCGCCGCAGCAAGGUAUCGCUCGCGGUCACCCGCCUCUCAUGCAGCCGCUUCCUUCACGGUUCGUCACGGCAGCAGCGGCGGUGGCGGCGAGCCUGUGCCUUCUCAAGAAUCCGUUCGGAGUGCCACCGCCAUGGCUGCGCGCUCUUCGGUAUUGUCUAGCGCUGCUUCUUCUGCAUCCUGGGCCGCCCCGCUGAGGGACUUGGAUGAAGACGACGAUGACGUAGAUGGCGGCGGCACAGAUGAUGCGGGCGCCAAGCGUGGCGUGCGUGGCUGCAGAGGCGAUGCCUUAGCUGGGCAGACCGUUGAGUACAGAGAGGGGCGCACAAUGCACUGGGCUCCCCCGGCAUUGCGGCGGAAUGGGGAGCCGCCGCUACUGGCGCGGCCGCGUGCAGCCCUCGACCUCCGCGUCGCGGCGUCCGCGCCAGCGGCGGCGGCGGCUGACCAGUACGCGAAGCGGUUUGGCACCGACAUACACGUGGUAGGGCGCAUCUGCUCGAGCCUCGGCAAAGACCUGCGUAAGGAAAUAAAGAUGCCCAGCUACUCCCUCACGAUGGUGCAUGUUAAGCUGCUGGGGCAACCACUACCUUACUUCACCGACAGCUAUCUUUCCGAGCUCUUCCUGACGCCGCAGUGCGCCGAUGCACCCGGCGGAGGCGAGCGGCACACGGCUCUGCGCUACCUUGCCUCACGCGUCGCCGCGCCGCACCGAAUCGCGUGCAAGCUGCGCUGGUUCACGAGGCUGCUGGAGUUCUCGCGGAUGUACGGCAUCCUAACCAAGGAGGUCAUCACCCGCGGCAGCCAGUUCCGCGUGGAGGCGACCCUUCUCCGCUUUGCCCAUCCUCUCGGGUACGCGAUGCUGUCACCAUCGCUGAGCCAGGUGCAACGCCAACCCCGCAUCGAGUGCAUCCCGCUGGUGAUGCAGCCCAAGUCGGACCUGUACCGCCAUGACCCCGUGGUGGUGCUAGACUUCCGUAGCUUGUACCCGAGCCUCAUCAUCGCCUACAACCUCUGCUACUCCACGUGCCUUGGCUUAGUGCAGCCACACUCGCACGGACGACUUGGGGUGCUGCCGCGGUUCAGGCAAAGCAACGCCGCGUUGGCGGAGCUGCUACCCGACGACGGCGCCCAGCACGACGGCGUCGUCUUCAGCCCCAACGGGGCCAUGUUCGUUUCUCCCAGCACACGAGUCGGCUUGCUGCCGCAGAUGGUGCAGGCCGUGCUGGACACGCGGUUCGAGGUGCAAGCGGCGCUGAAGCAUAUUGCCGUGCCAUCAGAGGACAUCACGAUGCAGCAGCGCCUGCAGGAGCAGCAGCUGGCUCUCAAGAUGCUGGCAAACGUGACGUACGGGUACACAGCAGCGUCAUACACGGGCCGCAUGCCGUGCGUCGACCUGGCCGAGGCGAUCGUGUCCCUGGGCCGGCAGACGCUUGAGCGCGCCAUUGAACUCAUACACAGCACUCCGGCGUGGCGGGCCGAGGUAGUCUACGGCGAUACGGACAGCUUGUUCGUGCGGCUUGCGGGCCGCACCAAGGCGGAUGCCUUUCGCAUUGGCCAGGAGAUGGCCGACGCGGUCACACGGUCGAACCCGGCGCCGAUACGACUGCAGUUUGAGAAGGUGCUGCUGCCGUGCUUACUGCUCGUGAAGAAGCGGUACGCCGGGUACAUGUGGACCUCACCGACGCAGGAGGCUCCAACGUUCUUGGCGAAAGGGAUUGAGGUGGUGCGACGCGACCAGUGCCCCGCCACCGUGCAGCUCACAGACCGACUCCUGCGGAUGCUUUUGGACGGCGCCAGCGCGACAGCGCUGCGACAGUCGUACUACGCGGCGGUGGAGCGGCUCCAGUCUGGGGCCGCAAACCCGCUCCAGUGCAUCUUCCGCCGUGCGGUGAAGUUGGGUCGGUACAAGGACGCAGGUGACACGCACCUGCCGCUGGCAGCCCGCCUGGCCUUCCAGCAGAUGGAGAAGGACGUCACACAGACGCCGUUCUGGGGAGAGCGACUGCCGUACGUGGUGGUGCAAUCCACCACUGCAGUUAACAAGCUCACAGACAAGGUGCUUCACCCGGAGCGCCUCCUCCAGGCACACGACACCCACAGCGUGGACGCGGCCUACUACAUCGUGCGCCACGUAAACAGAACGCUUGAUCGCAUGUUCUGCCUUGUCGGCAUCCGCUUUGCGCGGUGGUAUCGAGAAAUGCCUCGGCGGCGCACGGCGCACGCAGCGCUGCUAAACUUGCCGACCUUCAUGGCAGCACAGCAGCGGCUGCAGGGCGUGGUGCCACCUGACGCGCGCGGUGCUGCCCCCCUUCCAUUCUCCUUCGAUACCGCGAGCGCCCCUCUAAGUCCGCGAAGCCGGCAGAUGCGCUUGGGGCAGCUGGCAUCAUUGAUGGAAGGGAUACGCCACCACCACAGCAGCUCAGGCGUGUUGUCUGCUCUUAGAGGCGGCGCUGCUUCCGCCGCGGCGACAACGGCGGCAACAGCGGAGGAGAUCAGAGACGAUGAGGAUCCGAGUGACGAAGCGGCGCAGCUAACAGAGGUGGCAGACCUCACCCGCCCCUCGACACAAGAGGUGAUCGACGUAGACCAGUUGGCGACGCAACGCAGCAAUCGUCCGUCUUCAUCUUUGACGGGCGCAGCGCCGCCACAGCUCGACCGCUUUCUGAAGCCUGGUCGGGCUGCAUCUCGCUCUGGGAGACGGAAGCGGUGGCGCACCGUGACCCUGGAAAGCUUCUACCCGCGCACACUCUGUGUGGUCUGCGAAGAAGAGGCCGUCAGCCUGAACGACAUCUCUCGACAGCAGGCCGUGCUGAUGCAUGUCGGAGGGGUGGGAUGCGGCGCAGCAGUGAGCGGCGGGCGUUGCUCUACAGUCGCCUACCCUCCCGCCUCCACAGCACCAGCGGCACCGCUUCCUCUUCCCCAUCGCCUUCCGCCCAUCUGCACGCGAUGCUGGAGCGAUCCGCUGUCGCUGCACCUCCACGUACAGCAGCAGUGCCGCUCUAUGCACCGGCAGAUGAACGCGCUGCAGGGGCUCUGUGCGCGCUGCAUCAGCGGCGGCGGCGAUGCCGGCGAUGCCGCGGCGGACGAGUACAGGCUGGCCGUAGCAGACAUGGAAGACAUGGACGCCUUCUGCAUGUCGUCUACGUUGACGCGGCGCCGCAACUGUCCAGGGCACGGCUACGAUGGCGUAGAUGGUAGUACGCCACGCCACGUGCUGGCCGCGGUGGAGCUGUCCGCCGAGGGUGUGCCGCGCGGGUGCGUGUCGGUCGACUGCGCCGUUGGAUUUGAGAAGAAGUGGGUGACGGCACAGCGGACGCAGUGGCAGGCUUUGCAGGCGUUUCUGAACAAGGUUUUGUGAGUGAGGGCGUUGUGGCUGCGAACGGUGAGCCGCUUCCGCUGGAGACAGUCUGUGCGCGGGUAGGACGAUGGCUGACGACGUUGCCUCCGCCUUGCAUUCUC
rnacentral:misc_RNA from 1 species